rnacentral:lncRNA from 1 species
AUUUCAUCAGUCUCUAAUUCUUCUUUUUCUUUCUAUUUUUUUUAAUCUGUCAUUCAGGCUGUUUUGCGCUGGCAUGAUCUUAGCUCACUGUAACCUCCACCUCCUGGGCUCAAGCAAGCCUCUCACCUGAGCCUCCCAAGUACCUGGGGCUACAGAUGCAUGCCACCUUGCCCAGCUACCAACCACCUUGCCUGAAAACUCAUUCUCCCCAGCACUCCUUCCAUUCUCUAUUAGAAGAGCUCCUGACUGGACACCAGGAUUUUAUCCCUCCACGAUCUUCUCACGCAGGUCAAAAUAGCCUUUUCAAGUUAUAAAUCUUCUCACUCUUCUCAAAAGCCUUCAGUGACUCCUCAUUGCUCAGACAAUUCCUGGCACUGGCACUGAUGAAGAAGAUGGCAGCAAACGGAAGACUGGAACCAAAGAGGAGCCUUGAGAAGUCAGAAGUUCUGUUCCAGUGAGUUGAAUCAAGACUCACAGUUUAGAACUGGGAAGAAAGAGCUCUUCUCUUGUUAUGCUCUUGGGAUGCCCAAUGACUGAAUUACUAGUAACAAUUGGCCUGAAUCCUCCUGUCAGUCUGGCACUGUCUGAAUAACUCUUCGUGCAGUGAAGGAAGGAGCUGUUCCCCGCUUAAACGUCAUUGACGGCUGUCUGCUUAUCUGCCAGCUUCCAAGCUACAGUUUAAGUUGGAAGGACAUGGGCAAAGGACAAUGCCACCUUUCAGCUGUAAUUGCAAGUCAUGAUUACCAAUCACCAUCUAUCAAGAAGACAGCUAAUUUUUGAUACUAUAUAAUAAAAUAGGCUCUGGUUAUUUUUCUUCUUUUUUUCUUUUUUUAAAUUAAACUUUAAGUUUUGGGAUACAUGUACACAAAAUACAGAUUUGUUACAUAGGUAUACACGUGCCAUGGUGGUUUGCUGCACCCAUCAACCAGUCAUCUACAUUAGGUGUUUCUACUAAUGCUAUCCCUCCCCUAGCCUUCCACCUUCCGACAGGCCUUAGUGUGUGAUAGUCCCCUCACUGUGUACCUGUGUUC